rnacentral:rRNA from 1 species
CCUACGGGGGGCAGCAGUGAGGGAUAUUGCACAAUGGGGUAAACCCUGAUGCAGCGACGCCGCGUGUGGGAAGACGGUCCUCUGGAUUGUAAACCACUGUCCCCAGGGACGAAGAUGACGGUACCUGGGCAGGAUGCUCCGGCUAACUACGUGACAGCAGCCGCGGUACUACGUAGGAAGCGAGCGUUGUCCGGAAUUACUGGGUGUAAAGGGAGCGUAGGCGGAACUGCAAGUUGGCUGUCAAAUCUACCGGCUCAACCGGUAGCCGCACUCAACACUGGAGUUCUUGAGUGAAGUAGAGGCAGGCGGAAUGCCUGGUGUAGCGGUGAAAUGCGUAGAUAUUAGGAAGAACACCGGUGGCGAAGGCGGCCUGCUGGGCUUUUACUGACGCUGAGGCUCGAAAGUGUGGGGAGCGAACAGGAUUAGAUACCCGGGUAGUC